rnacentral:lncRNA from 1 species
CAUGUGUGUGUGCACGUGUGUGCCCGUGUGUGUAUAUGUGUGCACAUGCACCAACCACAGCAAAGCUGGUGGAAAAUGUUAAGAUCAGACCAAUGGAGUUUAAAGAAAAAGACAUGAGCUGAAAUGAAGAGCUGCACAUAAGCACAGGAGAGCAAGCGAAAUGGACCGUCCUCUUUUGAAGUAUACACACAGCGCCACUGAGACUGACCAUGGUCCACUUCCAGCAGAUGUAGUGUGCCAUGCCAGAAGCCCUGAAGCAGCUACCAGAACACCUUGCAAAAAUCUGGAGUGCAGCAGAAACCCACAAAACAAUAAAACCGCUUUUUAAAAUCAAAAGCCAGAGAAAUAGAUGGUUUUCCAUCAAGACUGACCAAGGACAGAAGAGGCCAGGCAGGAACUCGCCACAUGGGAACAAAGUGACCAGAAGAAAGUGACCAUCAUGACAAAACGCGUCACCUUUGUACAAAGUCUGCUUAAAUUUACGUUUGUUCACUUUACAACUUGUAUGAAAAGAACACGUCUAGAAAAAUACAGACCUCUAGAACUGACUCAGGAAGAAAGGAAGACCCCCAAAUAAGUCAGUAACCACUAAAAAAAUUAAUCUGAGAUCCAAUAGCUUCUCGUAUCCUAAAAGGAUACCAAGCCCUGAUUCAAAGCAGUCAUCAUCAAAAACUCAAAGAAUCUUCACCUCGUACAAAUAAUUACAUAGACUAGAAAAGAGAGUUGAAGCAUUUCGAGUCUGAACACCAAAGCCAGGUGAAGUCAUGUGGGGAAAGAAGAUUAAAUACCAACCUCAGAUAUAAACUUGGAUGCAGAAACAUUACAUAAAACAUUAGCAAAGCACAUCCAGGAGUAUCUCUUAAAACUCAAGACAAAUAAGAUCUAUCCCAGGAAUUCAAAAGCGAAUUUGAUGUUUUAUAAACCACCCUAAA